rnacentral:hammerhead_ribozyme from 1 species
AUCCAGCUGACGAGUUUUAAACAGGAUGAAACGUGCGUCCUGGAU